rnacentral:rRNA from 1 species
GCGGCAGGCCUAACACAUGCAAGUCGAGCGGUAACAGGGGAAGCUUGCUUCUCGCUACGAGCGGCGGACGGGUGAGUAAUGUAUGGGGAUCUGCCCGAUAGAGGGGGAUAACUACUGGAAACGGUAGCUAAUACCGCAUAAUCUCUUAGGAGCAAAGCAGGGGAACUUCUGUCCUUGCGCUAUCGGAUGAACCCAUAUGGGAUUAGCUAGUAGGUGAGGUAAUGGCUCACCUAGGCGACAAUCCCUAGCUGGUCUGAGAGGAUGAUCACCCACACUGGGACUGAGACACGGCCCACACUCCUACAGGAGGCAGCAGUGGGGAAUAUUGCACAAUGGGCGCAAGCCUGAUGCAGCCAUGCCGCGUGUAUGAAAAAGGCCCUAGGGUUGUAAAGUACUUUCACUCGGGAGGAAGGCGUUGAUGCUAAUAUCAUCAUCGAUUGACGUUACCGACAGAAAAAGCACCGGCUAACUCCGUGCCACCACCCGCGGUAAUACGGAGGGUGCAAGCGUUAAUCGGAAUUACUGGGCGUAAAGCGCACGCACGCGGUUGAUUAAGUUACAUGUGAAAUCCCCGGGCUUAACCUGGGAAUGGCAUCUAAGACUGGUCAGCUAUAGUCUUGUAUAGGGGGGUAGAAUUCCAUGUGUAUCGGUGUAAUGCGUAGAGAUGUGUAGAAAUACCGGUGGCGAAAGCGGCCCCCUGGACCAAU